rnacentral:rRNA from 1 species
AUUGAACGCUGGCGGAAUGCUUUACACAUGCAAGUCGAACGGUAGAGGGGGCAACCCCUUGAGAGUGGCGAACGGGUGAGUAAUAUAUCGGAACGUGCCCAGUCGUGGGGGAUAACGUAGCGAAAGUUACGCUAAUACCGCAUACGAUCUAAGGAUGAAAGCGGGGGAUCGCAAGACCUCGCGCGAUUGGAGCGGCCGAUAUCAGAUUAGGUAGUUGGUGAGGUAAAGGCUCACCAAGCCAACGAUCUGUAGCUGGUCUGAGAGGACGACCAGCCACACUGGAACUGAGACACGGUCCAGACUCCUACGGGAGGCAGCAGUGGGGAAUUUUGGACAAUGGACGCAAGUCUGAUCCAGCAAUGCCGCGUGCAGGAAGAAGGCCUUCGGUGUAAACUGCUUUUGUACGGAACGAAAAGGCUACUGGUUAAUACCUGGGGCUGAUGACGGUACCGUAAGAAUAAGUACGGCGUAACU